UACGAAGGGUGCGAGCGUUAUUCGGAAUGAUUGGGCGUAAAGGGUGCGCAGGCGGUCUGUUAAGUCAAUUGUCAAAUUUCCCGGCUCAACCGGGAGUCGGCAGUAGAUACUGGCAGACUUGAGAGUGAGAGAGAGAGGCGGAAUUCUCGGAGUAGCGGUAAAAUGCUUAGAUCUCGAGAGGAACACCGAUGGCGAAGGCAGCCUCUUGGCUCAUUUCUGACGCUCAUGCACGAAAGCGUGGGGAGCAAACAGG
rnacentral:rRNA from 1 species